ensembl:lncRNA
UGAGCGCGCGCGCGCCCUCCCUCGCGCCCCUCACGGCUCUCUCGCUCUCUCUCUCUCUUUCCUGAGGGGGCCUCACCUGAGGAGAAUUUAUGUCGGGAUUUGCCAAAGAGGGAACCCCCCCCCCAACUGUCCUCUCCUCUUCCUCAGGACAGUCACACCAUUCUUAUCAUCAUCCUCAUCAUCAUUGGCUGCCCAACACGUGGGCACAUGUGAAGGCAGCCCAUCACUAUGCCAUUAAAAACCAUCACCUCUGGUUUUUGGACGUACUUCCAAGCCUUCCUUUCCUUUUCUAUGUUAGGCUGACCUUGGAAAGAUAUUUUACUGUCUACAGGAUCACUAUGCUGUACCAUCACUGUCGUGCUACUGAGUAGUAACUUUACUUCAAUUUGUUCAUACUCACAAAAGUGAGCUACCUUACUUUUGAAGAAAACUAGAACUGGGUGAAAGGAUGGGUGCAAACAUAGCCACUGUAAGUUUCAUGGGCGAGUAAGGAUUUGAAUCCAGACUUCUUUUGCCUACAUGUGGCUUGCCAUAUAUAGCUCAACAAGGAACAUAAUUGGUGGCUGAUGUGGGGAACCUUAAUGAAAAACCAGUGGAUAUGAUGGGAAUCAUAAUUCUAAAAAGUAACAUUUUUUAUCAGUGGGUUUUGGAUAUGGGGGCAACCUUGCCCUAUGUUGUGGAGCAAACCACCCAUUCAUUUCACCAGAAAACCUCCAGCUCACCCUGCACCAGAGGUGCCUUAAACCUGCCAUAUGAGGUGGCCAGUGCAAAGUUUUUUAUUUUAUUUUAGGCCAGCCUCUGGACUUACAUGGUGAUCAGCCACAGGGAUUUCCUUCAAAUUGCCCCAAACUUUUGACAAGUGUCAGUGCAGAAAAAGCCUACAAGUGGCUGCAUUUUGAGUAAGCAGAUUGGCUACAAUUUUGAAGGGAGCACAUUGCCAUGUGUCUAGAAGAGAAGUACCAGGGUGCCACCCUAUCCAAAUAUUUUCAGCCAGCUGUGAAUGUUCCUUGGCUACAUGUAUGUCUCAUGGUCUCUGUUAGAAACAUUAAAUGUACAAUAGCUAUGCAUUCCCACAGCUUGAAUGCUUAUAUUAAAAAAGAAAAGAAAAAGAAGAGGAGGAAGACUGCCACACAACCAGUGUUGAUAACAGUGCUAUAGCUAUUGUAAAGUAUUAAAUGUGACCACAACAAAUGCUCUAGAAAUACACUCAUGUAUGUGUCAAUUUAUGUCUUGAAUAUACAGAAAACAUCUCAAUUAUUCUUGUUCCUUCUCUCUGGUUUUACUAAAACCUGAAGCAGUAGCCCUGCAGACAUACUUUCAUGAGCAGAGGUGAAUGUCAUGAGAACGAAACCAAUUUAAAACUGGUUUAAAUAUGUCAUGACUGGUAUCUUAAAACAGCAGUGGUUUCUGCAUACAACUGUGUUAAAUUAUUUAUGUUGUGUUUCAGGGCAAAUUUCACAGUAAGUUCAAGUUGUUUCUAGUGUUACCAAUACCAUUUAAUGUCUGAGGAAGACUGUGGCCUGCUUUUCCUACUCUGAUGUUUUAGCUGAGCACCCUGGCCUACUUCUGGUUUUUCAGAUCUUCUGAAGUACAAAAAUAUAAAGCAAGACUUCACAGUUCAGGCCACCUCAUCAACUCAAAAUGGAUAGCCCUCAAGCUGAAGACAAGACCAGGCAGCUGGCUUUUCUAAUGACACAUGUCUAGAAUUUAAAAAUUUUGUGUAAUUGUGGAAAAGAGUAGGUUUGGGUAUGAAUUUACCCAUUACAUUAGAAUAACUUUAUAAGAGGGACACCCUUCAAAAUAAUCAUGGACAGCAGUUCCCAUCUGCUCUAGCUAAGUAGUAGUAAGGGAUGAUGGGAACUGUAGUCAAGUGAUAUCCAGACAGCCGCAUAUCACCUGUUGCAUAGCUUUGGUUACAUAACUAUAAAACUGACAGCAGCAGAACAGGAAGGAAGGAGAGAGAAGGUUCAUUCAAAAUUAGGAUAAAGAGAUCUAGGUCAAUAAAUACCAGAGGGGACAACA